rnacentral:rRNA from 1 species
UACGGAGGGUGCGAGCGUUGUCCGGAAUCACUGGGCGUAAAGGGCGCGUAGGUGGCAGGGACAGUCAACGGUGAAAGCUUGGGGCUCAACCCCGAGUCGGCCGUCGAUACUUCUUUGCUGGAGCACUGUAGAGGCAGAUGGAAUUCCGGGUGUAGCGGUGGAAUGCGUAGAUAUUCGCAAGAACACCAGUGGCGAAGGCGGCUCACUGGCCCGAUACUGACGCUGAGGCACGAAAGCGUGGGGAGCAAACAGG